AUCAUAAUUCAGUGCUUGCUUCACUGUACAGACGUAAACAAUUGCAAUAAAGAUGAAAACCCUGAUCUUCUUGGUGCUCGCGGUUCUUGGAGCCCAUGCCGCUAACCUCAACGUUGGAUCUAUCGCUGCUGGAGACAGACUUUUGCAUAGCUCUACCGUCUACCGCCCCCCUAGGGCUAACGCGGUCCAGUCCGAAAAUGUCUCCUUCUAUGGCAACCGUAAUACAAGGAUCACCGCAGUGCAGGCGCAAGAAGUAGGAGCCAGCCAGCGUGCGUCCGCUAGAAUCAUUUCUGGAGGCCUUGGCCGCAAUAAUGUCACUGUUAGAUUCCAAUCCGCGGUUGGAAGAGGAUACAACUACGUCUUCAGGGUUUGGGGACGUUAAAAAAGACACGAUUUUUAAAAAUGACGGUAGU